AGGACGGUUCGAGUAAGUGAUAUUUCGGAACAGUAUCUAGUUCCUACAUUGAUAUUGAAGGAACUAGAUACUGUUCCGAAAUAUCACUUAUUCGAAC
rnacentral:miRNA from 1 species